CUUCCAUGGUGAAGAUGAGCUGCCGCAGUCGAGGUCUGAAGCCGUUCCUGUCGUACUUGACCACCGGGACACUGGUGUGUGGACAGAAGAAGAAGAAGAAGAAAUAAUACCUCUGCAGAAAGAUCUCAUAUUUGCGGCGGUAGGCGAAGCCAGCCCGUCUGACCCUCAGAUGUUCCAUCAGUCCCAGGUACUUGACCUGGUGUCGGACCAACACGUCAUCGAAACGACCUGCGGGACACAGAGCAGCCGCUGGUGACCAGCUCACGGGUCAAAUUUCCGGUCUCCUCUUGCUGUCCGGCUCAGUGGUAGGAAAACAGUGAGUGAUGAUGGCGUUUUUGGACCGACGCAUGACCUGAGGAACAGGGUUUCAAACACAGAUGGGUUCGCGACCCUGACCUGCACCAGAUAACUGUACUGCUGACAGUUCCUCUGGAGGCCGAGCCAGAGAAGGAGAUCGUCCUCGCCUCCUUCCACCAGCUGGUAGAAGAUGUGGAAGUUCCUUUCUCCGUGGUUCUGGUGAACGACGCGAGACUUCUCCAACAGGAACGACGCUGCUGAGGGAAACCCUGAAGUCAGAACCGGACGACACCAAAGAAGAAGAAGCUAACGUCAUCGCAAACGUCCAGGAAAGACGUGCAGUGAUAAUUCAGAUCUGUGUUUUAGUGUCAUGUGUGAAUCUGUUCAAACCCCGGCUCUGUUGUUACCUCCUUCACUUCCAGCGCCAUGUGGGUCAUGGUUGGUUCCUGCAGUGACCCGGAUUAAUCCAAACUCAGAACCAGAGUCUCUCUUCAAAGACGUACGCAGCUCAAGGAGACAAAGUUGGUCAAAAGAAUCACCACCAUCAUACGACCAGGAGGUCUCCCAUGGUUCUGGAGUCGUCUGUCUCCUGUCUCCGUCAGCUCCGGUGUCAAUCUGUCCUGGACUGGAAGACCGGCGGAACCAGAGAAGAGGACGAAGAGACUGCACCAGGAGGAGGAAGACGAGGAGAAGGAGGAGGAGGAAGAAAAAGAAGGAGAAAGGUGGCACGGCUGCUCCCCACUGGACCUCUGUCUCUUCUGGUCUUCUGUCUC